GAAUUUUAACAGUUGGAUAAACACUGAUUAAGUUAAACUGAAAAGAAAAACAUUAUUACACAUUGAAUUAUUUGAAGCAAAAUAAAGAUUUUCUAAAAUGAAAGCAAGUUUAUUGGUCCUACUUAUGAUAGCAUACUCAACAUGGAGCUGCUGUAAUGGAAACAACAAUAAUCAGGG